rnacentral:rRNA from 1 species
CGCCUUGCCAGCCCGCUCAGAAACUUAAAUGAAUUGACGGGGCCCGCACAAGCGGAGGAACAUGUGGUUUAAUUCGAUGAUACGCGAGGAACCUUACCUGGGCUAGAACGCAAUCGGAAUCAGGCCGAAAGGUCUGCGCCAGCGAUGGCCGCUUGCGAGGUGCUGCAUGGUUGUCGUCAGCUCGUGCCGUGAGGUGUCGGGUUAAGUCCCAUAACGAGCGCAACCCCUACUGCUAGUUGCCAGCGGGUCAUGCCGGGGACUCUAGCGGAACUGCCAGCGUAAGCUGCGAGGAAGGUGGGGAUGACGUCAAAUCAGCACGGCCCUUACGUCCAGGGCUACACACGUGUUACAAUGGCCAGUACAGAGGGCAGCCACCCCGCGAGGGGGCGCUAAUCCUAAAAGCUGGUCCCAGUUCGGAUCGGAGUCUGCAACCCGACUCCGUGAAGCUGGAUUCGCUAGUAAUCGCGCAUCAGCCACGGCGCGGUGAAUACGUUCCCGGGCCUU